AUGGUAUAUGGAACGUCCUCUGGAGAUCAGUAGUUUGGCAGGAAAACGACUCCACAGUUCUGACAGAUUUUUGCAGGAUGCAUAGCCGCUAGAGAUUUCAGAAUAUAUUGCUAGUAUAUCUGUGGUGUAUGAAAACUACUAGUAGUAGCAUUAUCUACGCGUUCAGAAUCUGCAGUAAAAACAAGUCUCAAUUUAUAAUGAAUGAAAAAUUUCAAAUGUGUCUCAUAUAUAUCAGGACAUGACGAAUUCGAUAACUUAAAGAUUUAAUAGAAGAGGGAAUUUCAGAAUAAGUGAAGAAUUCGUCUCCAUAAAAAAAGAAGAUGGAUUAGAUUGAGAACCGAAGAACUCGUCUCGUUGUUGUUGUUGUUGUUGUUGUUGUUGGAAUUGUAACCAAAUUCUCUGCAAAUGCGAGCUCCACUGGAAGCAUGAAUAACAGUGAUUUUGUACAGAUUUUGCGAAGCAAAUGUGAGAUCCACUGAAAGAACUCAUGAUGAUCACUGAUCAGGCUCCGCUUUUCUUCACU
rnacentral:lncRNA from 1 species